ACCGUGACAAGUGGUGCCCGACCAGGGACCUGAACGAGGAAGGUCUGCCAGAGCAGAGAAAGUGAAACUGAUCAGACGAACUACGAACCCCUGGACGGGAGAGUCUGCCGGCGGAGAAUAUAAGGAGAUGGACAAACCGUGUGGGUGCCCUCCAGGUGUGUGUGACCAUGGAACGGGAGACCGGAGGGAUCCAUGGUAUUCAACCGUGGGCCUGUUACCUCCAGUACGAGCCAUGAGCCAGCGGAAUCUGAAUGCAAAGACAGAACAAGGGCCGACCGGAGUCACAAUGACAUCCAACCCCAUAACAUGGGGACAGAUCAAGAAAACGACACAAGAAGCUGAGAAACUACUGGAGCGCCAGGGUCAGGCAAAAACCCCUGACUCCAUGUUCUUGGCCAUGCUAGCUGUAGUGUCCUGUGCGUCUAUAGGAUCGGGUGAACCACCAACCGGCAAUUGAAAGCUGCACAGCCUGAAAUUACCUUUAUUCAAUUAAUGCAAAAACAAAAGGGGAGAUGUUGGAGGCCGAAGGAAUGAGGGUCGUGACCAACUCAGUAUACCACUGGAGGCUCUGUGAGCAAACAGCAAACUGUUCUCAUGAAAGCAGGAUGUUGGCGAACUGACAAACUCUGUCUGCCGCCAGAAGGAAUGCUGGGGGCAGUCAUGUCCCAGGUCCCGUGCUCCUUGAGGUUAUCCACAGGAACAUCCAGAACCUGUUGAACAAAGAAAGGAAUCAUGUGGGCCUGUGUUAAAUCAAAUAGCUGACCGACAGUUAUCCCUUCCUCCCUAUUCACUCUACCUAAUAAAUAUGAAGGGCUGUAAAAGCUCAGGUCCCUGUUCCCUAAUAUCAAGGAGCCCCCUGACCCCUUCUUUCAAACAGAUCCUUUUGUCUGUCUCAUUUCUGCAUUCGUCGUCCUUCGUUCGGUCCAGAAGCAACCGCGACAGUCCUGCAUGUGUUGAUGCCACCUGUAUGUGCAGGUGUGACCUCAGGUGUGUGAGUAUCCCUCAUACCCCUUAUCAUCACUGCCUAUUCGCUCUUCCUCCAGCCUCUGGCAACCACUAAUCCACGUUAUAUGUCUAGAUUUGCCUCUUCUGGACACUUCAUAUAAAUGGAGUCAUAC
rnacentral:lncRNA from 10 species